GCUGAUUCUGCAUAUCCUCUUAAAAAAUGGAUUUGGACACCAUUGAAGGAGAACCAGGUUGUUGGGCCUGCUGAAUUAAGAUAUAAUGAAGCACAUAUCAGAACACGCGCUAUAAUAGAAAGGCUGGUGUUCUAAAAAUGCGCUUUCGCUGCCUGGACAGAUCAGUGGGGGGGAUCUCCAAUACAGUCCUAAAAAAGCAAUAAACAUCAUAGUGGCAUGUUGCUGUCUACAUAACAUGGCACAGGAGCAUGGGAUAUUGAACGAUUUACUUCCACCACCACAGCCCCCAGGUGAAAUCUUUGAGCCUGAUGUAAUUAAUCAUCCCCAGCCACUCAAUGCCCAUUUCCAUUUGGAGAGAACUGCAACUAUUCGAGAUUUAUUUUCAGAUUGAAGAAUGUCAGUUACAGAUUCUCAGAAAUGGAAUAUCACUCCCCUUCCUCUCGCCUCAUUCCCAUAUUUACCACAUUUUCCCUAAAUAAAUGUGUACUUUACUCAAA